UGUGCCCCCCCCCGGCCUCGUCUCCCGCUGGCUCGCCAUGGGCGACUACUCGCAGCGCGCUCUGAUGGCGGCGUGCGCGCUGUCGUUCGUGGCGGGCGCGCUGCUGGGCUGGCAGGGCAACAAGACGCGCCGCAGGUUCCUGGACUGGAGGAAGCGGCGGCUGCAGGCGCUGCUCGCACAGACGCAGAAGAAGCUGGACCUGGCGUGAGCGGCGAAGGCGGCGGCGGCGGCGGCGGCCUUCGCAGCCGUCGCCUCGCGUGCGCUCGGGGUGGUAGUUCUGGCGUCGUUGGUGGUUGCGGUGUUGCUGGUGGCGGUGAUGGUGUUACUGGUGGCGGUGGUGGUGUUGCUGGUGAUGGUGUUGCUGAUGAUGGUGGUGACCUCUCGGGCCCGAGUCUCGACAAGAAUGAAGCGGCGUGCCUGGACGGUCAAGACGAGUACAGCGGCUGUUUUUUUAAAUGGCUCCAGGAUUUCACAAGACUUCACAUUUACAGAAGACCGUGUGCCCCACUCGUAUCUCGACAUCUGUACUGGACACCACGUCUGUGAAAAAGAGCUUCAUAGCUCAUCGGAUUUCUCCAAUCUAAAUAAAGAUUCUGUUUUUGAUUAUCACUAAUUACACAUUGCACUACAUUGAAGUAAUAUAUAGUGCUUGUGGCACUUUAUCAAUAACACUGCCUUAAAAAUAAAAAAGGUAAUUUGCAUAUAUGUGGUGUGAAGAAAGGCCAACACCUUGAACGUCGCCUAUUAUAGUUUUAGAUCUUAAAGCCACAGUGUUAUUGACAAAUGUGCUGAGGUGUUUUUGUUAUCUGUGCUUGUGCACUACUGCCAACAUUACCAAAGUGGUUGGUGUUUAGUUUUUGCCUACAGCUUCACGGUAUCUAUUGGGUGUGAAAUGGUCAACUUUCGAUACCAAAUUGCUUGAUUCGAGUUGCCGAUCACACGUUUUAUCACGGCUCGACGUGAGCCUGGCCGAAAACGUUGAUCACAGCGCAGAGGAGGAACAGAAACUCCGAUUUCGGCACGAGAGAGCCCAAUGGUGAUUGCAUGUUUAAUAAUCGCAACGUUUCACUGCAUUUUACAAAGUGAAAUUGCAACUUGAGAAAUGUUAACCACAUUGUUGGUGUCUAAGGAGAAGUUUAUGUUAUGGCACUAAUAUUGUGCAGUUAUAAACUUGCAUUUUUAGACUUA